rnacentral:lncRNA from 1 species
CAAGUAAAAGAUCUGUACAAUAAGAACUUCAAGACACUGAAGAAAGAAAUUGAAGAAGAGCAGCUCUCUGCUCCCAGACCCGGUGAGAGAGAGACCCAACCGCCUGGUCAGGUGGGCACUCCUGAGGCUGCAGAGCGGAAGAGACCACCAACACUGCUCACCCCUGCCCACAUCCCUGGCCCAAGAGGAAACUGUAUAAGGCCUCUGGGCUCCCGUGGGGGAGGGCCCAGGAGCGGCAGGACCCCUGCCACAGACACCGCCGGACCCUGAAGGAAACAGACCGGAUAAACAGUUCUCUGCACCCAAAUCCCGUGGGAGGGAGAGCUAAACCUUCAGAGAGGCAGACAGGCCUGGGAAACCAGAAGAGACUGCUCCCUGCACACACAUCUCGGACGCCAGAGGAAAAAGCCAAAGACCAUCUGGAACCCUGGUGCACUGAAGCUCCCGGAAGGGGCGGCACAGGUCUUCCUGGUUGCUGCCGCUGCAGAGAGCCCCUGGACAGCACCCCACGAGCAAACCUGAGCCUCGGGACCACAGGUAAGACCAAAUUUUCUGCUGCAAGAAAGCUGCCUGGUGAACUCAAGACACAGGCCCACAGGAACAGCUGAAGACCUGUAGAGAGGAAAAACUACACGCCCGAAAGCAGAACACUCUGUCCCCAUAACUGACUGAAAGAGA